UACGGGGGGGGCAAGCGUUGUUCGGAAUUACUGGGCGUAAAGGGCUCGUAGGUGGCCAACUAAGUCAGACGUGAAAUCCCCAGGCCCAACUUGGGAACUGCGUCUGAUACUGGAUGGCUUGAAUUCGGGAGAGGGAUGCAGAAUUCCAGGUGUAGCGGUGAAAUGCGUAGAUAUCUGGAGGAAUACCGGUGGCGAAGGCGGCAUCCUGGACCGAGAUUGACACUGAUGAGCGAAAGCUAGGGGAGCAAACGGG
rnacentral:rRNA from 1 species